AUUCCGGAGAGGGAGCCUGAGAGAUUGCUCCUACGUCCAAGGACGGCAGCAGGCGCGAAAAUUGCCCACUCUUCUUUUGGAGGAGGCAGUUAUGAGACGUGAAUAAAGGAAGUACAGUAAAUAAGUGCUUGUAAAGCAAUUGGAGGGCAAGUUUGGUGCCAGCAGCCGCGGUAAUACCGACUCCAAGAGUGUCUAUUGUGGAUGCUGCAGUUAAAAAGUCCGUAGUUUUUUUGUGCAAUUAAAAGGUAUUGAUCAAAGAUACCAAGUUUGCAACAAUAUUUUUCGGAACGGAUAGGGAACAUAGUAUAGAUGGGCGAGAGAUGAAAUGACCAAGACCCCAUCUGGACUAACAGAGGCGAAAGCGAUGUUCUUAGACGAAUCUGUGGAUCAAGGACGAAGGCCGGAGGAUCGAAAGUGAUUAGAUACCGCUGUAGUUCCGGCAGUAAACUAUGCCGACAUCUUUUCCAUGUAUUAUUAGUGGGAGAGAGGGAGAAAUCUUAGUGUUCGGGCUCUGGGGAUAGUAUGCUCGCAAGAGUGAAACUUAAAACGAAAUUGACGGAAUAACACCACCAGGAGUGGAUUGUGCGGCUUAA
rnacentral:rRNA from 1 species